GAUGAAGAACGUAGUGAAAUGCGAUAAGUAAUGUGAAUUGCAGAAUUCAGUGAAUCAUCGAAUCUUUGAACGCACAUUGCGCCCGCCAGCACUCUGGCGGGCAUGCCUGUUCGAGCGUCAUUUCAACCAUCAAGCCCCCAGGGGCUUGUGCUGGGGCCCUGCGGCUGCCCGCAGGCCCUGAAAACCAGUGGCGGGCUCGCUAGUCACACCGAGCGCAGUAGCACAUCUCGCUCAGGGCGUGCGGCGGGCUCCUGCCGUGAAACCCCCCACUGUAACCCCAAAGGUUGACCUCGGAUCAGGUAGGAAUACCCGCUGAACUUAAGCAUAUCAGUAAGCGGAGGA
rnacentral:misc_RNA from 1 species